GUGCUUGCUCAGUUAGCACAUAUACCAAAAAAUUGCAAAGAAACACAGAAUAGUAUCAUGUCCUUGUACAGGGAUGACAUGUAAUUUUGAAGCACCCCAUGUUACU
rnacentral:snRNA from 1 species